rnacentral:lncRNA from 1 species
GGGUCCCAAGGGGGUCCCAAGGGGGUCUUGGGGUCCUUAUGGGGGUUCCGGGGCCUUUAUAGGGCACCCUAAGGUCCAUAUGGUGGUCCCAAAGGGGUCCCAAGGGGGUUCUGGGGUCCUUAUGGGGGUCCUGGGGUCCUCAUGGGGCACCCCAAGGUCCAUAAUGGGGGUCCCAAAGGGGUCCCAAGGGGGUCCUGGGGUCCUUAUGGGGGUUCCAGGGUGUUCAGGGGGCACCCUAAGGUCCAUAAUGGGGGUCCCAAGGGGGUCCUGGGGUCUUCAGGGGGCACCCUAAGGUACUUAAGGGGGUCCCAAGGGGGUCCUGGGGUCUUCAGGGGACACCCUAAGGUCCAUAUGGGGGUCCCAAGGGGGUCCCAAGGGGGUCCUGGGGUCCUUAUGGGGUCCCAAGGGGGUCCGGGGGUCUCUAGGGGCCCCCUGAGGUCCCUCUGGGGGUCCCGGGGGGUCCCUUUGGUGCCCCCCACCCAUGGGUGCCCCCGCGCUGUCCCGGCUGCUGCAUUAAAGGACUUUGGGAACCGACCCGGCUGCUCCUUGGGACACGGGGGGGGGGACAUCCCAGUAUGAACUGGGACCAUUCCAGUACGAACUGGGACCAUUCCAGUAUGAACUGGGAACCCCAGCCCCAGCCCAGUACAGACUGGGCCCAUUCCCAGUACAAACUGGGAUCCCCAGCCACUUCCCAGUAUGAACUGGGCCCAGUCCCAGUAUGAAACAAGAUCCCCAUCCCCAUUCCAGUACAAACUGGGACCCCCAGCCCCUUCCCAGUACAAACUGGAACCCUCAGCCCCAGCCCAGUAAGAACCGAUCCCAUUCCCAGUACAAACUGGGACAGUUCCCAUUACAAGCUGGGACCCCCAGCCCCAGCCCAGUACAAACUGGGCCCAAUCCCAGUAUGAACUGGGACCCACAGCCCCUUCCCAGCUCAAACUGGGCCCAUUCCUAGUACAAACUGGGACCCACAGCCCAAUCCCAGUAUGAACUGGGCCCAAUUCCAGUAUGAAACAGGAUCCCCAGCCUCAUUCCAGUAUAAACUGGGACAAGUCCCAAUGUGAACUGGGCUCCCCAGCCCCUUCCCAGUAUGAACUGGGACCCUCAGCCCCUUUCCUGUAUGAACUGGGCCCAUUCCCAGUACAAACUGGGACCCCCAGCCCCUUACCAGUACAAACUGGACACAUUCCCAGUACAAACUGGGACCCCCAGCCCGUUCCCAUUACGAACUGGGAACCCCAGACCCUUCCCAGUAUGAAUUAGGCCCACCCCAGUACAAACUGGGCCCAUUCCCAGUACAAACUGGGACCCCCAUACCCUUCCCAGUAUGAACUGGGCCCACUCCACUGCAAACUGGGAACUUUCCCAGUACAAACCAGGGCUCCCAGCUCCAACCCAGCUCAAACUGGGACCCCCAGCCCUUUCCCAGUAUGAACUGGGCUCCCCAGCCCCAUCCCAGUAUGAACUGAUCCCAUUCCCAGAACAAACUGGGCUCCCCAGCCCUUUCCCAGUAUGAAUUGGGCUCCCCAUCUCCAUCCCAGUACAAACUGGGCCCAUUCCCAGUACAAACUGAGAC